rnacentral:lncRNA from 1 species
AUGAAGUGGAAGAAGUUUGGGAUGUGCCCACUUAGGAUCAUGUGGCCCUGGCCUGCCCUGUCCUUGGCUCCCAGGAGUUCAGACACUUGGCCUCACCAAAGAGCCUACUUGAAGAGAGCUCAAAUUAAAGGUGCACAUGAUGCUACCUUGCGCUCCACAGAGGCAGAGGAUGUGUUGUUUUUGCCUUUUUGUCACCAGUGCCUGGUACCUAAAUGUUUGUUGAUUGGUCGAUUUCACUACAAAGUCUUUUCUACAUGAACACAAAACCAUACUGUGCUAUCGUGGGGGGCAUUUUGGGAACUGUGGAUGGGUGCUUGGAUUUGAAGUUGGAGAACCUGGGUUCAGUUCCUACCUCUGCUGCCUACACUUGUGUGUUCUUGUGCAAAUGGCUUAACUUCCCAAAAUCUUACUUUCCUCAUUUAUGAAAUGAAGGAAAUGGAUUAAAUGGUCUCUAAGGUCCCUUCAAGCUCUAAAUCUAUGUUUAUUUGCUGUAACCUGGCUCAACAGAUCAUUCCAUGGACCACUGAGCAUUCUAGGAUUUGGGUUUGAGAUCCAGAAAGUUCAAUCUUGCAAAUGUGCUAUUAGUCAGAAGGAGGAUUGGGUGAGUGUCUAUGGAUCCCCCAGGGUAAACCCACUCCCACUUCCAAGACAAAUAAAAAUAAUUUUCUUUCCUUUUGGGGAAGAGUA